CGCCGCACGCGCCUCUCCGCCAAAACGGGUGCAGAGCAGGACGGCGAGGGCUGUGAGGGGAGAAGGGAAAAUGAAACACGAUGGUUAGAAGAAAGAGAAAAGGAUUUGGAAUGUGAGGACAAGAAGGAAUUAUUACCACCAACUCCUCUGAUCAACUGCUUAGUUUCUGUUGGUAACAAACAAUCCUUGCAGGAUGUAAGAAAAUGACUAACAAUGGCAAGAAGUUUGCAUACCACUGUGUACUCUGUUGAGAAGUGUUACAAAAACACAAGGAUGGAACUGUAACUGCUGGGGUGGAAAGGAAGUAAGUGAGGUCAGUAGACCUAAGAACAAGUGAGAGCCUUUUCACCCUGCAGUGAAGUGCAGAACACACACACUGGACGCAGGGAGCGGUAUGAAUACAUUUUGCCAGCAGCACACAAAUGAUUUUCAGCAAAUCAUCUUCCUUCUCUGUCGGAUGUUACAUCUCUGCAAAGUCUGGAGAGAACCAGAAAACCCAGCUUGUUUGCCCUCAUUUUGGCAGUUUAAUUUAGGAAUCACACUGGCUUUACAUAAACCACCCAAAAAAACAGUAUUCUGUAUUUUGAAGGCACAAGUGAACUCGGGCCCAAGGGAAAGCAGCAUUGUAUACGGUUUACAUAAUAGCUACUCUAUUCCUUUAAAACCUAAUGACAUUCUGAGGCAUUGUCGGUUAACAAUGGUUCUACUUUUCUCAGAAGCUCAUUCAAUUUUCUGUUGUUUACCUGAACCUGAAAGAGGAGUUUUCCUCCCAUCUAUAGUUGGUUAAAGAAAAAAAGCAGGCAGGAUUCCUCUAAUAAAAGCUUGAAAUAGAAAAGCAGUGACUACUGGCAAGGCCCUGCUUAUUGUAGAAGAGUCAUUAAACAAAUCAUUUUAGGGUCUCUAUUAAUGAUCUAUUUCAGCAGUCCUCAACCUUUUUAUUUUUAGCACCAGGGACUGGUUUCAUGGAAGAUAAUUUUUCCAGGGAAGGAAGGAGGCCAGUGAGCAGGGGGAUUAUGGGGGGAGGCAGAAUUCAGGUGGUGAUACACGACCCUGUUUUCCUAACAGACCACAGACAGGUACCAGGGUUGGGGACCACAGAUCUAUUUUCUCUACCGUUAACACAAAAAAGGAGAGGAAGUGGUGUGAGAUCCACAGCCACAGACAGACCUUGUUUGCUUGCUAGGUGUGUAACUGACUCUCUGGACUCGUGUCCUCAACUGUAAAAUGGACAUACUUACUUACUUGGCAGGGACGUCAUGAGAACUAACUACAAAAAUAGAUGUUAAGUGCCUACCAUCCAAGGGACGCAAAUGCCUUUCCUCAGGACGCUCACUGGAAGGUGAAUUUCUAAUGAGAAGAGAUAAUGCCUUCCUCAUCUUUGCGUGGUGAUCUAGCCCACUGAGACUGUC